UGGGGAAUAUUGGACAAUGGGGGGAACCCUGAUCCAGCCAUGCCGCGUGUGUGAAGAAGGCCUUAUGGUUGUAAAGCACUUUAAGCGAGGAGGAGGGUACUGGUAUUAAUACUACCAGGUACUGGACGUUACUCGCAGAAUAAGCACCGGCUAACUCUGUGCCAGCAGCCGCGGUAAUACAGAGGGUGCGAGCGUUAAUCGGAUUUACUGGGCGUAAAGCGUGCGUAGGCGGCUAAUUGAGUCGGAUGUGAAAUCCCCGAGCUUAACUUGGGAAUUGCAUUCGAUACUGGUUAGCUAGAGUGUUGGAGAGGAUGGUAGAAUUCCAGGUGUAGCGGUGAAAUGCGUAGAGAUCUGGAGGAAUACCGAUGGCGAAGGCAGCCAUCUGGCCUAACACUGACGCUGAGGUACGAAAGCAUGGGGAGCAAACAGG
rnacentral:rRNA from 1 species